AUUGAACGCUGGCGGCAUGCCUUACACAUGCAAGUCGAACGGCAGCACGGGUGCUUGCACCUGGUGGCGAGUGGCGAACGGGUGAGUAAUACAUCGGAACAUGUCCUGUAGUGGGGGAUAGCCCGGCGAAAGCCGGAUUAAUACCGCAUACGAUCUACGGAUGAAAGCGGGGGACCUUCGGGCCUCGCGCUAUGGGGUUGGCCGAUGGCGGAUUAGCUAGUUGGUGGGGUAAAGGCCUACCAAGGCGACGAUCAGUAGAUGGUCUGAGAGGACGACCAGCCACACUGGGACUGAGACACGGCCCAGACUCCUACGGGAGGCAGCAGUGGGGAAUUUUGGACAAUGGGCGAAAGCCUGAUCCAGCAAUGCCGCGUGUGUGAAGAAGGCCUUCGGGUUGUAAAGCACUUUUGUCCGGAAAGAAAUCCUUGGCUCUAAUACAGUCGGGGGAUGACGGUACCGGAAGAAUAAGCACCGGCUAACUACGUG
rnacentral:rRNA from 1 species